rnacentral:rRNA from 1 species
AACGAACGCUGGCGGCAGGCCUAACACAUGCAAGUCGAACGAAGGCUCCAGCUUGCUGGAUGUCCUUAGUGGCGCACGGGUGAGUAACGCGUGGGAACCUGGCCUGGAGUGAGGAAUAACUUCUGGAAACGGAAGCUAAUACCGCAUAAUCCCUGAGGGGGAAAGACUUCGGUCGCUCUAGGAUGGUCCCGCGUCGGAUUAGGUAGUUGGUGAGGUAAUGGCUCACCAAGCCGACGAUCCGUAGCUGGUUUGAGAGGAUGACCAGCCACACUGGGACUGAGACACGGCCCAG